rnacentral:lncRNA from 1 species
AAACAUGCAUAACAAGAAUGUGUCCUCAGUACACGAAUGCCCCACUCGCACUAUCAUUUUCUAUGUUCAGUGGACCGUGAAAUUGGGGUAAAAUCUCUAAUUUGGCAUUAAAAUUAGAAAGAUCAUAUCAUAGGGAACAUGUGUACCAAGUUUGAAGUCGAUUGGACUUCAACUUCAUCAAAAACUACCUCGACCAAAAACUUUAACCUGAAGCGGGACGGACGAACGAACGAACAGACGAACGAACGAACAGACGGACGGACGAACGAACGAACGAACGGACGCACAGACCAGAAAACAUAAUGCCCCUCUACUAUCG